AUACGGAGGGGGCUAGCGUUGUUCGGAAUUACUGGGCGUAAAGCGCACGUAGGCGGAUUAAAAAGUUAGAGGUGAAAUCCCAGGGCUUAACCCAGGAACUGCCUUUAAAACUAGUAGUCUAGAGUUCGAGAGAGGUGAGUGGAAUUCCAAGUGUAGAGGUGAAAUUCGUAGAUAUUUGGAGGAACACCAGUGGCGAAGGCGGCUCACUGGCUCGAUACUGACGCUGAGGUGCGAAAGCGUGGGGAGCAAACAGGAUUAGAAACCCUAGUAGUCC
rnacentral:rRNA from 1 species